rnacentral:misc_RNA from 1 species
UGUGGGAGCGGGCUUGCUCGCGAUUCAGGCAACGCGAUUUGUCUUUACCAACGCGGUGAUGCAAUCGCGAGCAAGCCCGCUCCCACA